GAUGAACGCUGGCGGCGUGCCUAAUACAUGCAAGUCGAGCGAACAGACGAGGAGCUUGCUCCUCUGACGUUAGCGGCGGACGGGUGAGUAACACGUGGAUAACCUACCUAUAAGACUGGGAUAACUUCGGGAAACCGGAGCUAAUACCGGAUAAUAUAUUGAACCGCAUGGUUCAAUAGUGAAAGACGGUUUUGCUGUCACUUAUAGAUGGAUCCGCGCCGCAUUAGCUAGUUGGUAAGGUAACGGCUUACUAAGGCGACGAUGCGUAGCCGACCUGAGAGGGUGAUCGGCCACACUGGAACUGAGACACGGUCCAGACUCCUACGGGAGGCAGCAGUAGGGAAUCUUCCGCAAUGGGCGAAAGACUGACGGAGCAACGCCGCGUGAGUGAUGAAGGUCUUCGGAUCGUAAAACUCUGUUAUUAGGGAAGAACAAAUGUGUAAGUAACUAUGCACGUCUUGACGGUACCUAAUCAGAAAGCCACGGCUAACUACGUG
rnacentral:rRNA from 1 species